UACGUAGGGGGCAAGCGUUGUCCGGAUUUAUUGGGCGUAAAGAGCUUGUAGGCGGUUUGUCGCGUCUGCUGUGAAAAUCCGGGGCUCAACCCCGGACUUGCAGUUGAUACGGGCAGGCUAGAGUUCGGUAGGGGAGACUGGAAUUCCUGGUGUAGCGGUGAAAUGCGCAGAUAUCAGGAAGAACACCAAUGGCGAAAGCAGCUCUCUGGGACGGUACUGACGCUGAGACGCGAAAGCGUGGGGAGCGAACAGG
rnacentral:rRNA from 1 species